UACUUUGUUCCAUUCUCGGCAUAUGUUUGGUGGUAGGAAUUUCAUUUGUGGUAUCUCGUAUCUUUGUAUCGGUAGGUUCGAAAUAAAAUAUUAAUUUUACUUAAUUAUAAAGUAAUUAUUAUUUCUUAAAUUUAUUUCUAAUUGUCGACAACAGGCUUAUGAUUCUUUUCAAGAAAUUAGAAAGUUUAACUUAAUUCCUCUUCCGUUGGAAGUCAAUCUAAAGGUAUUGAACUUUAUGAAAAAAUUUCGCGAAAAUGAAAUUGGAAUUUGUUGUGGAGGUUAUUUUAUUCUUUCUACAAAUUUUCCCAUUCAGAUGUAUGAAUCGCUGUAUAGUGUUUUCAACAUAUUACUUAAGUUACGAGAUAUCUUCGAAGGAAUCGACAAAUCUUGUAAACCAGCUACUAAAUCAUUACUUGUUAAUUCCACAAAUAACUUCAAUAUAUAGUUUAAAACUAUAAAAUAUACAAAUUGUUUAAACAAUUAUUCUAGAAAAGAGUCAUAUAACUAGAUUACAACACUGUUACCUUUAUAGCAAUAAUAGGAACAUUUUCUUUCUGUAACACAGUGCACUUAUAUCUGUUAUAUUGAUUUCAUGUGUCAAUUGUUUUUAUAGAUUACUUAAAUGACUUAUUAACAUCAGGCAACAAUUCAUCAAAAGUAUUAUCAUGCUACAAUUUUGUUCCUCACGAUAACGCCUCAAACGCAAUAGUAUACACUAACAUUCAGUCUAAUGACUCAACCCAUACAGUGCAAGAUAAAUUUUGUAGU